rnacentral:rRNA from 1 species
UGGGGAAUAUUGGACAAUGGGCGCACGCCUGAUCCAGCCAUGCCGCGUGAGUGAUGAAGGCCCUAGGGUUGUAAAGCUCUUUCACCGGUGAAGAUAAUGACGGUAACCGGAGAAGAAGCCCCGGCUAACUUCGUGCCAGCAUCCGCGGUAAUACGAAGGGGGCUAGCGUUGUUCGGAUUUACUGGGCGUAAAGCGCACGUAGGCGGACUAUUAAGUCAGGGGUGAAAUCCCGGGGCUCAACCCCGGAACUGCCUUUGAUACUGGUAGUCUUGAGUUCGAGAGGGGUGAGUGGAAUUCCGAGUGUAGGGGUGAAAUUCGUAGAUAUUCGGAGGAACACCAGUGGCGAAGGCGGCUCACUGGCUCGAUACUGACGCUGAGGUGCGAAAGCGUGGGGGGCAAACAGG